GAGGGAGUUUUCGGAGGGGAAACCAGGAAAGAGGAUAACAUUUGAAAUGUAAAUAAAGAAAAUAUCCAAGAGAAAAAGAGAAAAAAACCAAAAAACAAACAAACAAACAAACAAACAAACACCAAGGAGAAGCAGAAGACUGGGAUUUGGGUGACAGGCUGUGAAUUAUCUCCAAGUCCAACUGACCACAGUGACAUUGGUGAGUAUUCAUUCUUGCUGAACCAGCAGUGACAAUUCCCAGGUAACCCUGCAAGUACUGGGAGAAAGUGGUGCACAGCACCUCUCCGGAGCUUAACUUUAGAGCUUGGGGGUUGGGACCUCAAUGGUUUCUCCUGCUGUGUCCUUUAUUUCACAUGCAUUGACACUGCUCAGGCUUUGGGCUAUUUAGAGCAUCUCUUCUCUUCCUUUGUGGCUCGGGCUGUUGUCACCUUUACCAUAAGAUAUGUUACCUGAAAAGGCUUUUAAGACGAUUCAAUCUAUUCCCUCCUGCCCCUGUGGAUGUAAAGGAGAAUUCUCCAUUGCCCCAUAGCAUUAUUCUUGGAUGCUCUCAGUGAGUAAUGAUGACAAUGGUUGCUAAGCUGCAAUGCUUAUUCUGUGCUAGAUAUGGGUCUCUCAUAUGUCAUUAGUUCCGUCAGGCCUUAACAAAAAUUAUAAGCAGCAUUUUAUAAAAGAGGAAAUGGGAGAAAUGAAUGAUAGAAAACUUACCUGAGCUGUAACUGGCAGAAAUGAAGGCCAAAGAAAAAUUGGAGCUCUUGUACUGCUUAGGUCUAGAAGGGCACUUUAUACUUUGGUCCUCCCAGUACAGAAGCCCCCUCUUCAGGGGUUGAGGAGGCCAGUGGUGUAAUGCGUGACUAGCAGAUGCCAUACCUAGAUCAAUCCUUGGUACUCAAAAAGUAGAUAGACAGAUGAUAGAUAGAUAGAUAGAUAGAUAGAUAGACAGACAAGACAUAAAAUAAUUUCACCGAAUGAGAAUUGGUAAUGUCCACCCAGCUACCAGUUGAUUGCUGGUUUUUGUUUCUGCUUUCCAGGGGUAAGGGUGCAGGAAUUCAACACUUUGGACAGCAAUAGACUACAAUUAGUUCAGAAAAUGUAAGAUGUUUCUGAAAGCAAGAUAGAAAUGAAUGGAUUGAUUAAAGUGGAAAGUCAGUAAUUAGAGCUUAGUUGGUGUUUUUCUUUUUGGUUAAGUGUAAAUCUUGUUUCCUGUACUAAAGCCACUUCUACUAAGCUGGGUUUGGCUCUCCUUGGGUAGGACCUCCAGUUAUUCUAAUGUAAGUAUGGCCUCAGAUCACAAAGCCACCCUGGUCUUCUCAGUAGCAAAGCCAGGGAUGGAGAACAUAAACGGUGUAAUGCCUACUGAGCAUAUGACGUAUACUCGGUCAGUCCUUCAUACUCUAAAGUUAGAUAAAUAGAUAAAACCAGAUAAAACUCCUCAGAGAAUGAGAGUUGGUAAUGUCCUCUGUUGCUCUAUGUGCUUGUAGUCUCCUCAGCCCCAGGUCUUGACACCCCCAGUACCUCAAUUUCUCAGUUCUUGGCAUCAGGCCUUCUCUCAUUUCCAAGGGCUUGCUCAGUUGUUUCCCAUUGCUGAGUUUGCCCGUGUCAUUCCCAAUACCUGGGAUUGCCUUAUCCAUUUUUUUUCCCAACCGAAACUUUCAUGUCAGUUGAAAGACAGCUUACUUUAAAAAUCUUCCCCCAACUUUCUCUACCUAGAAAACUUGUAUUUUAUGUUUCAUUAUUUCCAUACACCUUUCCAUGUCUUUACAUAUGAAAAGUAUACUCUAAGAGUGAGGUCAUUUUCAAAGCAUCAUCUCCAUCCUCAUGAGUACCAGGCUUACCCAGGAAGUGGAAACUCUCCAACCCAACCCGAAACCUACUCAGCCAGAGACUCUGCAGUGGACUGGGUCAGUGUACCAAGGCUAAGCUCACCUGGGUCAGUAUGCGGCCUUAGCUCUUGCUUUUCUCCUUCUAUCUGGACAGAUGGACAGCUCUUCCCUGAUGCAUUUACUUCCCACUCCUACGCAGUGCUCACUCACCUAGUAAUUUCCUGCAUGGAUAAAUAAUUUUGUUUGACUUUGUAACAUUUGUUUAAAGAAGAUGAUUUGUAACAGUCUUUAAAGGAAGACUGUUUUCAAUUUUACAGAUUAAAAAAAUGAGAGGCCUUGUAGUCCCUAGGACAGAGACAUGGCAAGUCCAGUGUAUUCACAAAUUUUCUCUUUGGAGAAAAUGCCCACAGUGGGAUGGGUAUGCCUCUAUUAAGUAGAUUCUACCAUUGAAGAAAGGUGUCCAUGCACCAUCUGAAAUGAACCUUCUUUCCUUUCUCCUUUACUAAAGCAUUUAUUGACGAUACUGUACCAAAUGCUCCUGGGGGUGGGGGUAUCCAAAAGGAUACUGUCCUCAAAGACCAUAUAUUAUCUCGAUGUCUCUCUGCCUGCAGUGUGUGUAAGCAUGAAAGCCUGUUGCAGAUUCACAUGUGUAUUCAAAUGCCAAGCAGAUAGUGAUACAAAAAAAUGACAAUAUAAACUACUUUCACUUGGAAAAUAUAGGUAAUGCAUUUUCAUGAUUUUGCACAUGAAAAUGAUGAGACCUAUUUUCACAAGGCUUGCUUAUGACAACAAAAUAAUACCGGGGACAUCUUAUUUCUCAUCCAAAUAUUUAUUUACCCCAAACAAUUUAAGACUAUCCUAUACAAUGUGUAUGGAUACUUUCUGGGAAGUGUAAUGUCCCAGGAAAAUAAUUGAUACAUUUUCAACACUACUACAUGGUUCACGAUAGAGUGGAAGUUGGGUUGUGUGUUCCUUUAAAUCAUUUACUUCAUUUCUGUCUUGCUCCCACUUUUAAAAACUGCCUUUGUUGAAAAGAAAACAAGACC
rnacentral:lncRNA from 1 species